CAGAGGGAGAAGAGAUGAAGUACAGGUGUAAAGUGUGGAUUUGGAAUCAAAAAACUAUUGCUGCAAUACUCGCCGGGAAACAUUCGACUCGCGAAACAAGAGAACUGCAAAGCUGUCGCAAACGAGUAUAUAGAAUGUGAAUUAAUGGUUAUUUAAUGCCCUUUUGGUUGCUAUUGUACUUUAAUUGCUCUCUGUCUCUCUGUGCCUUGGCCCAGUGAAAUUUUUUAUAUAUUUUUUUGCUUGAAUUUUGUAGAUUAUUCUGAUUGAUUUAGUUCUGCACAAGCCAAAAGGGUAUAGACAUCUUCUCUAUAAUGUGCUUCAAGAAACUGUGAAAUUAGAGGUACAGGCUGCGUACUUUGAUUAUUUCAUGUUUUGUUCAAGUCUUCCUACAUUUAGAUUUUCAACAUGGGCAUUAUUAUAUCUUUAUCUCGAGUGAAUGGAUGCCUUGUUCAAUAGAAGUUUAGAUUCCUUCAUUAUUGUUUAAACGAUAUUGGUGGAAUUAGCAAGCUUAAUAUCUUGAUUGGGACAUUCCUUUGUAGAGUACUUGCACGGAAUGCUUUCAGGACAUGAAUGCUUAUUAGAUUUUAUUUUUUUUUUUCCAGCUUAGUGUGCUGAGCUGCCUCAAUCUUUUCCUUCAAACAUGAAUAAUCUGCUGUUUCCAUUAAGGCUCUCCAUUGUAGGGAAACUAUUCUGCUUCAUUCCAUUAGACAAUCUGUCGUGUUUCUUUGAUGGUCCAGUAAGCCUCUUUCUUUUCUUUCAACAUCAGGAUAACACUUUGUUAUCAAUCAAUCAUCAAUAAAUAGAAGCAGACGAUGAAGCAGUUUCUAGAAUGGCCUGUCGUGUAAGUCGAGUAGAUGCAAAUGUCAACUGGUUUCGGUUAAACAUAACUGAUAGUUGAUUUUUCUUAAUAGAACAUUUAUAGAUGGCAUUCAUCAUCAGGAGAAAGGUCUAAAAGAUAUCCAAAAGUGGGUAUUUGUCAACUCGUUGAGCUACUGUUAUGCACAUUUACGAGGUAGGAAAUAAAUAUGUAACAGGUACAAAGUAGGCUGCAUCAACUCAUGUAGUAGUUUCUAAACAGCGAGUUCAGGACUUUAUAUAGACCUGAAUACUAAGUAGUAUGCGGCUAAUCCAAGCAUAAGAAUUCCCUACUUACAACUAUGACCAAAAGCAGGCCUAUGAGUGCUUUAAUAAAAUAAACUGAUGGUGGACAACUUUGGCAUAAUGGACAUGUCUCCGUGCGAAUGAACGAGUCUGUCUUGUUGCAAGUAGCCGUUGCAUUUGCUCUUAAUUUCAAAUUUGUCUUAGCAAUAACUGUUUUCUGGUAUUUUUCAGUCUUCACAUUGAUGCUUUCCUUGGGGGAUUCCUGAGGCAGAACAAGGGCAGUAACAGGCUUCCUAGCUUUUUUCGCCUGCAGACAGAAAUCAAGUAGAGGUUAAUUUUUAUUGCUGGACGAGUGCAUUUCAAGUGCUCUAUGUGAAUCUCAAGUUUCUCACCUUAUGUUCGGAUGCGCCUGACAAUUUGCCCUGAAUUAUACUUCCUUGUUUGUGAGUCCUCGUAGGGACAGGAACUUCUUUGCUGACAACUCUAACAGAUAUGUCUUCAUGGCUAUCUAUGGUUGAAUCUGCUGAGGGAGAGGAAAUAUCCAUUUGUAGUAUACGAUUCUUUUCACUUCCAUUCUGGUCAAAUGUUGAAGAAGGCACAGUUUCAGUAAUUGUUUGAACCGUUUGCAUCUGCCGGUAAUGCCCAUUGUUCAAGUUGGAAGCUCCAAAUUGCGAAGACUGUAAUAAAGAUAUGAGUAGAAAUAUUUUCAGGUGUGCUCAAAUUUCAAAGCCCUGAGUAAAUUUCUCUUAUACAGCUGCAAAUAAUUACUGAUUUAAGGUUUGCAUGCUACCAGAGAUUUAGGAGAAUUAUAUUUACCCUUUCAUAGAGAAUUUCAGCUUCCAUGUCACUAAUAUCAUCAUUAAUAUCGUCAUGAUACAAUCCACCCAAUAAAUUGGGUGAGCUGGAAUGAUUGCAGCUAAUGCGUGCACUUUCUUGACGAUUAUGAUCAUCUUGAUUCACAAGAACUGGAUACAGGUACUCUUCACCGCUGUGUUCAUCAGGUACAACAGUAAAUGAAUCUGCCAUCUCAUUGGGAUCUUCCUCCAUCACUGGCAACCUAUCAGAGUCAUUGUCGAAGAAAUUUAUGGACAUUAGAUCAUCAAUGGAUAUGCCUUCAUCCAUGUGGAAUUGGGGAUGCUCUGGGGAGGGAUUUUUGAAAUUUGGCCCACAAGUACUAGCAAGCAAAGAUUCCAGAAGUAGCUCCGAUUCGACCUGGAGAAAACAAUGAUAGAGAAGCAAUUGCAUUAGUCCUGGACAUAUAUCUAAUUUGAUAACUGGUAAUAAAAUGCUGUAUAUUUGAACUAGAUAUACAUUAAAGAAAUUAGGCACUCUUCUCUCACCUGUGAGAUUGGAAUCUCUAUUGGAUGAUGAUCAGAAGCCCUGCUACUACUAGGUUGACCUUCUUCACAAGCAGAUGUACGAGCCUUGUCAUCUCUUUUUGCCUUUAAUUUACAGAGAACAAAAUCUGUCUGGUUAGGAGUUUUAGGCUGAUACUCGUGAAUGACCCAGUUGGUCUUCACCUCCUUGGGGCUGCCACGCUUAUAAAAAACCAAAGUCCUCUUUGUACCAAUCUCACUGUUAGUGCGACUGGCCGUGAUUGUACGCUCAUUACCAGUUGGUUUCCAGUGUCCACUCUGUGUUGAUCUGUUGAACCGUUGUCUGGUGGUAUUUUUAUACUUAUUCUCCCUUCUAUGAAAGAAAUACCACACCUGAUCAUUUGACCCCCCC
rnacentral:misc_RNA from 1 species